AUUGAACGCUGGCGGCAUGCUUUACACAUGCAAGUCGAACGGCAGCGCGGGCUUCGGCCUGGCGGCGAGUGGCGAACGGGUGAGUAAUGCAUCGGAACGUGCCCAGUAGUGGGGGAUAGCCCGGCGAAAGCCGGAUUAAUACCGCAUACGACCUGAGGGUGCAAGCGGGGGACCGAAAGGCCUCGCGCUAUUGGAGCGGCCGAUGUCGGAUUAGCUAGUUGGUGGGGUAAAGGCUUACCAAGGCGACGAUCCGUAGCUGGUCUGAGAGGACGACCAGCCACACGGGGACUGAGACACGGCCCAGACUCCUACGGGAGGCAGCAGUGGGGAAUUUUGGACAAUGGGGGCAACCCUGAUCCAGCCAUGCCGCGUGCGGGAAGAAGGCCUUCGGGGUGUAAACCGCUUUUGUUCGGGAAGAAAUCCUCUGGGCUAAUACCCCGGGGGGAUGACGGUACCGGAAGAAUAAGCACCGGCUAACUACGUG
rnacentral:rRNA from 1 species